GUGAGUGGGUAGCGGGGAGGUGACCGUGGACGUUGGGUGCCCUUUAUCAACUUCUCAUUCCUUCCUUUCUUCCAG
ensembl:miRNA Mir7058 microRNA 7058